UUCCUUAAGCUUUGCCUUUUAACUUCCAUUUUACUCAACUUCUCAUUUCUGAGAAAUUUCAUUUUUCAUUUGAUAGCACUGUGACCACUGAUCCAACAACAUGCCUCACACCAGGUCUGGGCCAACACUUCAGGCCGAGUCCAUCCAUCUGGUUGGUUCCUUGGUCAACUGUGUUCAGGCAGAGCACUUUAGACAUUUGCUGAAACUGGAGCAUGCAUUUAUUGAAUAUAUUUGAAGGACAGACAAAAGAAAGCACUUCUUCACAGUUGAACUCUGGAACUCCCUUCCACAGAAGGCAGUGAUGCCCACCAACUUCGGUGGCUUUAAAAGAGGAUUGAACAAAUUCAUGGAGAACAAACAAGGCUAUCAACAGCUGCUAGCCAUGGUGGCCAAGUUCUACCUCCACUGGCAGAAACCGUAUGCCUCUGAAUCCCAGUUUCUGGGACUCACAGAUGCGCAGAGUGCUGUUGCGCACAUACCGUGCUUGCAGGCUUCCUAAAGGGAUCUGGUUGCCACUGUGAGAACAGGAUUCUGGACUACAUGGACCACUGGCUUGAUCUAACAGCCUUUUCUUAUGUUCUUAAGAGUUAGUCAAAGCAUGCCAGUUUUCAGAACUGCAAAUUAUAAAUAUUUAAAAUUAUUACGUUUCCCCAAAAA